GCAGCUGCAGGCUUCCUCCCCAGCAUCUGGGCGGCCCAGAGGGGCUGAGGAGUCAUGGGACAGUCAUCACGGAUCUGUCUCCAGCCUGCUGGUUCAGAGCACGCGCGUGGGGGCUGGGAGGCUGAGAUGCCGGUCCCAUUCCAGCUACAUACAGGCCGAGUGCUGCGGACAUCUCUCACUUGACUUCUCUGGGCUUCAGUCUUCUCACCUGCCAAGUAGAGAUAAUAAGACCAUUGUCACAAGGCUGUUGCAAGGCUACAGGAGAAAUGGGACAAAAGCUCCCCUGAUGCAGGACCAAGCAGCGUGGCUCCUGGGGUAGCAGCACUGGAUCAUGAAGUGGUUCAUCCAGUCACCUGACACCUUUCUGAAGCAGACCCAGGCCCUGCUUUGGAGGAGCUCAGAGCUCUGUGCCCGGAUGUUCGCUGUACGGUGGAUUUCCCAGCUGGACUGAGGAGACCCGCUCCUGGCAUGAUAAAGUAUAGGUGGCUUCUCCAAAGCCACAGAACUGAUUAGUGACAACAUCAGAGAAAAGAC